GUCCUACGGGUGGCUGCAGUGGGGAAUAUUGCGCAAUGGAGAAGAACUCUGACGCAGCAAUACCGCGUGAGCGAAGAAGGUCUUCGGAUCGUAAAGCUCUGUUAUCAGGGAAGAAGAAAAUGACGGUACCUGAUGAGCAAGUCCCGGCUAACUACGUGCCAGCAGCCGCGGUAAUACGUAGGGGACAAGCGUUGUCCGGAAUCACUGGGCGUAAAGGGCGCGCAGGCGGUGAUUUAAGCAGGAUGUGAAAGGCUACGGCUCAACCGUAGACAUGCACCCUGAACUGGGUGACUUGAGUAUUGGAGAGGCAGGCAGAAUUCCUGGUGUAGCGGUGAAAUGCGUAGAUAUCAGGAGGAAUACCGGAGGCGAAGGCGGCCUGCUGGACAAAUACUGACGCUGAGGCGCGAAAGCGUGGGGAGCAAACAGGAUUAGAUACCCCAGUAGUC
rnacentral:rRNA from 2 species